GACGAACGCUGGCGGCGUGCUUAACACAUGCAAGUCGAACGGUAAGGCCCUUCGGGGUACACGAGUGGCGAACGGGUGAGUAACACGUGGGUGAUCUGCCCUGCACUUCGGGAUAAGCCUGGGAAACUGGGUCUAAUACCGGAUAGGACUCCUGGCUUCAUGGUUGGGGGGGGAAAGCUUUUGCGGUGUGGGCCCGCGCCGGAUUCGCUAGUUGGUUGGGGUAACGGCCCACCAAGGCGACCAUCCGUAGCUGGUCUGGGAGGACGAUCAGCCACACUGGGACUGAGACACGGCCCAGACUCCUACGGGAGGCAGCAGUGGGGAAUCUUGCGCAAUGGGCGAAAGCCUGACGCAGCAACGCCGCGUGAGGGAAGAAGGCCUUCGGGUUGUAAACCUCUUUCAGUAGGGACGAAGCUUCCGAGGUUAAUAGCCUACGGGGUGACGGUACCUACAGAAGAAGCCCCGGCUAAC
rnacentral:rRNA from 1 species